rnacentral:rRNA from 1 species
GAUGAACGCUGGCGGCGUGCCUAAUACAUGCAAGUCGAGCGAACAGAUGAGGAGCUUGCUCCUCUGACGUUAGCGGCGGACGGGUGAGUAACACGUGGAUAACCUACCUAUAAGACUGGGAUAACUUCGGGAAACCGGAGCUAAUACCGGAUAAUAUAUUGAACCGCAUGGUUCAAUAGUGAAAGACGGUUUUGCUGUCACUUAUAGAUGGAUCCGCGCCGCAUUAGCUAGUUGGUAAGGUAACGGCUUACCGAGGCAACGAUGCGUAGCCGACCUGAGAGGGUGAUCGGCCACACUGGAACUGAGACACGGUCCAGACUCCUACGGGAGGGAGCAGUAGGGAAUCUUCCGCAAUGGGCGAAAGCCUGACGGAGCAACGCCGCGUGAGUGAUGAAGGUCUUCGGAUCGUAAAACUCUGUUAUUAGGGAAGAACAAAUGUGUAAGUAACUAUGCACGUCUUGACGGUACCUAAUCAGAAAGCCACGGCUAACUACGUG